AGGCGAACCGGGGGAACUGAAACAUCUAAGUACCCCGAGGAAAAGAAAUCAACCGAGAUUCCCCCAGUAGCGGCGAGCGAACGGGGAGCAGCCCAGAGUCUGAAUCAGCUUGUGUGUUAGUGGAACGGUCUGGAAAGUCCGACGGUACAGGGUGAUAGUCCCGUACACCAAAAUGCACAGGCUGUGAACUCGAAGAGUAGGGCGGGACACGUGGUAUCCUGUCUGAAUAUGGGGGGACCAUCCUCCAAGGCUAAAUACUCCUGACUGACCGAUAGUGAACCAGUACCGUGAGGGAAAGGCGAAAAGAACCCCGGCGAGGGGAGUGAAAAAGAACCUGAAACCGUGUACGUACAAGCAGUGGGAGCACCUUCGGGUGUGACUGCGUACCUUUUGUAUAAUGGGUCAGCGACUUAUAUUCUGUAGCAAGGUUAACCGUAUAGGGGAGCCGCAGGGAAACCGAGUCUUAACUGGGCGUUAAGUUGCAGGGUAUAGACCCGAAACCCGGUGAUCUAGCCAUGGGCAGGUUGAAGGUUGGGUAACACUAACUGGAGGACCGAACCGACUAAUGUUGAAAAAUUAGCGGAUGACUUGUGGCUGGGGGUGAAAGGCCAAUCAAACCGGGAGAUAGCUGGUUCUCCCCGAAAGCUAUUUAGGUAGCGCCUCGUGAACUCAUCUUCGGGGGUAGAGCACUGUUUCGGCUAGGGGGUCAUCCCGACUUACCAACCCGAUGCAAACUACGAAUACCGAAGAAUGUUAUCACGGGAGACACACGGCGGGUGCUAACGUCCGUCGUGAAGAGGGAAACAACCCAGACCGCCAGCUAAGGUCCCAAAGUCAUGGUUAAGUGGGAAACGAUGUGGGAAGGCACAGACAGCCAGGAUGUUGGCUUAGAAGCAGCCAUCAUUUAAAGAAAGCGUAAUAGCUCACUGGUCGAGUCGGCCUGCGCGGAAGAUGUAACGGGGCUAAACCAUGCACCGAAGCUGCGGCAGCGACACUAUGUGUUGUUGGGUAGGGGAGCGUUCUGUAAGCCUGCGAAGGUGUGCUGUGAGGCAUGCUGGAGGUAUCAGAAGUGCGAAUGCUGACAUAAGUAACGAUAAAGCGGGUGAAAAGCCCGCUCGCCGGAAGACCAAGGGUUCCUGUCCAACGUUAAUCGGGGCAGGGUGAGUCGACCCCUAAGGCGAGGCCGAAAGGCGUAGUCGAUGGGAAACAGGUUAAUAUUCCUGUACUUGGUGUUACUGCGAAGGGGGGACGGAGAAGGCUAUGUUAGCCGGGCGACGGUUGUCCCGGUUUAAGCAUGUAGGCUGGUUGUCCAGGCAAAUCCGGAUAAUCAAGGCUGAGGUGUGAUGACGAGGCACUACGGUGCUGAAGUAACAAAUGCCCUGCUUCCAGGAAAAGCCUCUAAGCAUCAGGUAACAUCAAAUCGUACCCCAAACCGACACAGGUGGUCAGGUAGAGAAUACCAAGGCGCUUGAGAGAACUCGGGUGAAGGAACUAGGCAAAAUGGUGCCGUAACUUCGGGAGAAGGCACGCUGGUGUGUAGGUGAAGUCCCUGCGGAUGGAGCUGAGACCAGUCGAAGAUACCAGCUGGCUGCAACUGUUUAUUAAAAACACAGCACUGUGCAAACACGAAAGUGGACGUAUACGGUGUGACGCCUGCCCGGUGCCGGAAGGUUAAUUGAUGGGGUUAUCCGUAAGGAGAAGCUCUUGAUCGAAGCCCCGGUAAACGGCGGCCGUAACUAUAACGGUCCUAAGGUAGCGAAAUUCCUUGUCGGGUAAGUUCCGACCUGCACGAAUGGCGUAAUGAUGGCCAGGCUGUCUCCACCCGAGACUCAGUGAAAUUGAACUCGCUGUGAAGAUGCAGUGUACCCGCGGCAAGACGGAAAGACCCCGUGAACCUUUACUAUAGCUUGACACUGAACAUUGAGCCUUGAUGUGUAGGAUAGGUGGGAGGCUUUGAAGCGUGGACGCCAGUCUGCGUGGAGCCAACCUUGAAAUACCACCCUUUAAUGUUUGAUGUUCUAACGUUGGCCCCUGACCGGGGUUGCGGACAGUGUCUGGUGGGUAGUUUGACUGGGGCGGUCUCCUCCCAAAGCGUAACGGAGGAGCACGAAGGUUAGCUAAUCCUGGUCGGACAUCAGGAGGUUAGUGCAAUGGCAUAAGCUAGCUUGACUGCGAGCGUGACGGCGCGAGCAGGUGCGAAAGCAGGUCAUAGUGAUCCGGUGGUUCUGAAUGGAAGGGCCAUCGCUCAACGGAUAAAAGGUACUCCGGGGAUAACAGGCUGAUACCGCCCAAGAGUUCAUAUCGACGGCGGUGUUUGGCACCUCGAUGUCGGCUCAUCACAUCCUGGGGCUGAAGUAGGUCCCAAGGGUAUGGCUGUUCGCCAUUUAAAGUGGUACGCGAGCUGGGUUUAGAACGUCGUGAGACAGUUCGGUCCCUAUCUGCCGUGGGCGCUGGAGAAUUGAGGGGGGCUGCUCCUAGUACGAGAGGACCGGAGUGGACGCAUCACUGGUGUUCGGGUUGUCAUGCCAAUGGCACUGCCCGGUAGCUAAAUGCGGAAGAGAUAAGUGCUGAAAGCAUCUAAGCACGAAACUUGCCCCGAGAUGAGUUCU
rnacentral:rRNA from 1 species